UGCCAGCAGCCGCGGUAAUACUGAAGGUGCAAGCGUUAAUCGGAAUCACUGGGCGUAAAGCGCUCGUAGGUGGCUUUGUAAGUGGGAUGUGAAAGCCCCGGGCUCAACCUGGGAACUGCAUUCCAAACUGGCGAACUAGAGUAUGGUAGAGGGAGGUAGAAUUUCCUGUGUAGCGGUGAAAUGCGUAGAUAUAGGAAGGAAUACCGGUGGCGAAGGCGGCCUCCUGGACCAAUACUGACGCUGAGGUGCGAAAGCGUGGGGAGCAAACAGGAUUAGAUA
rnacentral:rRNA from 1 species